rnacentral:rRNA from 1 species
GUGCCAGCAGCCGCGGUAAUACAGAGGGUGCAAACGUUGCUCGGAAUCAUUGGGCGUAAAGCGCACGUAGGUGGCGCGUUAAGUCGGAUGUGAAAGCCCUGGGCUCAACCCAGGAAGUGCAUACGAAACUGGCGCGCUUGAGUAUGGAAGAGGGUCGCGGAAUUCCCGGUGUAGAGGUGAAAUUCGUAGAUAUCGGGAGGAACACCAGUGGCGAAGGCGGCGACCUGGGCCAAUACUGACACUGAGGUGCGAAAGCGUGGGGAGCAAACAGGAUUAGAUACCCGGGUAGUCC